rnacentral:tRNA from 1 species
GGUUGUGGCUCAACGGUAGAGCACUCAGCUAGCAUGUGCGAGGCUCUGGGUUCGACCUUCAGCACCA